AGGUAUCACCAAAAAAGCUUUUGCUGCCCAUGUAGUGCCGAGGCUGACCCACCAAGUGCACCAGAAAGCCAAAGCUUCCAGGCUUUCUGUCCUGUCAAGAAACUGGUUUUUUUGGUUUUUUGAGCCCUGCACUGAAACUGCCAGUUUGAGUCCUAGAAGUCCACCCAGAUGAAGAUUCCUCCCCGAUGAAAGGUACCAGCAAAAAAGCUCUUGCUGCCCAUGGAGUGACCAUGCUGACCCACCAAGUGCACCAGAAAGGCAAAGCUUCCAGGCUUUCUGUCCUGUGAAGAAAGGUGUUUUUUUUUGUUUUUUGAGCCCUGCACUGAAUCUUACGGUUCGAGUCCCAGAAGUCCACCCAGAUGAAGAUUCCUCCCAGACCAAAGGUACCACCAAAAAAGCUCUUGCUGCCCAUUGAGUGCCGAGGCUGACCCACCAAGUGCACCAGAAAGCCAAAGCUUCCAGGCUUUCUUUCCUGUGAAGAAACUGGUUUUUUUUGGUUUUUUGAGGCCUGCACUGAAACUGCCAGUUCGAGUCCCAGAAGUCCACCCAGCUGAAGAUUCCUCCCAGACCAAGGGUGCCACACCAGAAAUCUCCUGCUGGCGAGGGAGUUCCCAGGCUGGCCCGCCAAGUGCACCAGAAAGCCAAAGCUUCCAGGCUUUCUGUCCUGCCAAUAAAAACUGGUUUUUUUGGUUUUUUGAGCCCUGCACUGAAACUGCCAGUUUGAGUCCUAGAAGUCCACCCAGAUGAAGAUUCCUCCCCGAUGAAAGGUACCAGCAAAAAAGCUCUUGCUGCCCAUGGAGUGACCAUGCUGACCCACCAAGUGCACCAGAAAGGCAAAGCUUCCAGGCUUUCUGUCCUGUGAAGAAAGGUGUUUUUUUUUGUUUUUUGAGCCCUGCACUGAAUCUUACGGUUCGAGUCCCAGAAGUCCACCCAGAUGAAGAUUCCUCCCAGACCAAAGGUACCACCAAAAAAGCUCUUGCUGCCCAUGGAGUUACCAGGCUGGCCCGCCAAGUGCACCAGAAAGCCAAAGCUUCCAGGCUUUCUGUCCAGCCAAUAAGCAUUUUUUUUUUUUGGUUUUUUGAGUCCUG